AGAUUGAACGCUGGCGGCAGGCCUAACACAUGCAAGUCGAGCGGUAGAGAGGUGCUUGCAUCUCUUGAGAGCGGCGGACGGGUGAGUAAUGCCUAGGAAUCUGCCUAGUGGUGGGGGAUAACGUUCGGAAACGGACGCUAAUACCGCAUACGUCCUACGGGAGAAAGCGGGGGACCUUCGGGCCUCGCGCCAUUAGAUGAGCCUAGGUCGGAUUAGCUAGUUGGUGAGGUAAUGGCUCACCAAGGCGACGAUCCGUAACUGGUCUGAGAGGAUGAUCAGUCACACUGGAACUGAGACACGGUCCAGACUCCUACGGGAGCAGCAGUGGGAAUAUUGACAAUGGGACGAAAGCC
rnacentral:rRNA from 1 species